rnacentral:rRNA from 1 species
CAUUGUCGAAAUUGAACAAGAGCACGACCCGCGAACAGUCAUUAAGUACCAGAGAGGGCCCUUGGGCGCACGACGCUCACACGGCUCGCGUCGGGUCGGCGUGGACCUAGUCGAGGCCCGCGUUGAACCGACAGUAAAACAACGUCAGCACGRAUCGUGCCAAGGAGCCGCACGGAGAGAAUCGUCGUCUCACGUCUUCGGUCUCCCUCGAUGCGGGACGGCAGGCGUGGGACGCGAGCGAUCUCUGCUCAAGUCUAAAUGACUCUCGGCAACGGAUAUCUCGGCUCUUGCAUCGAUGAAGAACGUAGCGAAAUGCGAUACUUGGUGUGAAUUGCAGAAUCCCGCGAACCAUCAAUUCUUUGAACGCAAGUUGCGCCCGAAGCCAUUCGGCUGAGGGCACGCCUGCCUGGGUGUCGUGAAUCCCCUUGCCCUUGGGCUCCCUUGUUCAUGCAUGCGCAUUGGCGGGGAAAAGCUGGGGCGCAGAACGUGGUCUCCCGUGGGAUCGACACUGCACGCGUGGCAUGUCGAGGCGCGGUUGGCUGAAAAUAGAGCAUGGAGGUGACGGGUACCACGGCGUUCGGUGGAUCGAUUGGGAUUGGCUGCGUCGUGGUCUCGGCUCGCGCCCCGCUCCGGGCUUUUUGAUGAUCCCUAGUGCGA